UUUUGAUUGGCCGAAUCCUUUUUCUUUUUUUUUCCUCGAAAGGCGCCCAAAACCAAAAGUCAAACAAGCCGGACGACAGGAGAAAGAGAAGAGAGCGCGGCGCCUGUGGGUUUGCCCCGUGCACGGCGACCCUUUGGCGCUCGGCCGAAAAACAAGAAGGAAAAGCAGAGGGACUGUGGUUGCUGCGCUCGCCGGGCCGGCGCGAGACCCCAACCGCGCACUCUUUGUCUGUCCAGAGAGACGAGCCAAAAAGGUGCCGAGUAAAAAGAGGAGGAAAGAAGAAACAAAAACACCAGGCCGGCGGCUUUGUUCUUUUUCCUGGGGCCUCGCUUGCGCUCAUGUCCCAAGGGCAAAGUUCACCACUC
rnacentral:lncRNA from 1 species